rnacentral:rRNA from 1 species
UACGUAGGGACCAAGCGUUGUUCGGAUUUACUGGGCGUAAAGGGCGCGUAGGCGGCAAUUCAAGUCAUCUGUGAAAUCCCCGGGCUCAACCUGGGAAUUGCGAUGGAGACUGCAAGGCUAGAAUCUGGCAGAGGGGGGUAGAAUUCCACGUGGUAGCAGUGAAAUGCGUAGAGAUGUGGAGGAACACCGAUGGCGAAGGCAGCCCCUGGGUCAAGAUUGACGCUCAUGCACGAAAGCGUGGGGAGCAAACAGG